rnacentral:rRNA from 1 species
UACGUAGGUGGCGAGCGUUGUCCGGAUUUACUGGGCGUAAAGGGCGCGUAGGCGGCGCGACAAGUCACUUGUGAAAUCUCCGGGCUUAACUCGGAACGGUCAAGUGAAACUGUCAUGCUAGAGUGCAGAAGGGGCAAUCGGAAUUCUUGGUGUAGCGGUGAAAUGCGUAGAUAUCAAGAGGAACACCUGAGGUGAAGACGGGUUGCUGGGCUGACACUGACGCUGAGGCGCGAAAGCCAGGGGAGCAAACGGG